UAGGGAAUCUUCGGCAAUGGACGAAAGUCUGACCGAGCAACGCCGCGUGAGUGAAGAAGGUUUUCGGAUCGUAAAACUCUGUUGUUAGAGAAGAACAAGGACGUUAGUAACUGAACGUCCCCUGACGGUAUCUAACCAGAAAGCCACGGCUAACUACGUGCCAGCAGCCGCGGUAAUACGUAGGUGGCAAGCGUUGUCCGGAUUUAUUGGGCGUAAAGCGAGCGCAGGCGGUUGAUUGAGUCAGAUGUGAAGUCCCCGGGCUUAACCCGGGAAUUGCAUCUGAUACUGGUCAGCUAGAGUCUUGUAGAGGGGGGUGGAAUUCCAUGUGUAGCGGUGAAAUGCGUAGAGAUGUGGGGGAAUACCGGUGGCGAAGGCGGCCCCCUGGACAAAGACUGACGCUCAGGUGCGAAAGCGUGGGGAGCAAACAGG
rnacentral:rRNA from 1 species